CCUCAGUCUCGGAACAUCCGGAUUGAUUCACUGACAAGCCUCAUCAGAAGCACGAGCUAAAGGCUAACUUCAACAGCAUGAGAUUUAUCCACAUUGUAUAUCUGACGAUGAAGCCAUGCCACUGCUGGAAAUUUCUCAACCACAGACAAAAGACCAAACUCCAGCGUGACCAGUGCCAGUGCCAACAGGGCAAUCCUCCAGAACUACAAUAGCCCGGCUCCGAUGCAUGGAAGAAGCAUGGGACCGGCGACGAGGAGCCGCAGCCAGUCUGACCUCCUAUUAAUGGAUUGUAGCCAGAGCCCGCACAAUCACUCAGAGCCGGAUUGCCUCUGCAGGAGCGAGCAAGCGAGCACUUUCUCUCAGACACUCACAUGCAUAUGUUCAGCCGUACAAAAGCUGUCCAGCCCUCUGCAGUAGCGCAGACGUUAUUGUUGGUUUUGUCCAGCUGCACUUGAAAUGACAGUGACCCAGAACUAUGGGCAGGAUUAAAAAACCCCUAUAAGCGUUCAGUCAAAUGCA